UGUGGAAUGAAGAACUAGAUUAUAGUUGGCCAAACGAAAAUGGGUCCCUCAAGGUCAAAGCUUGCUCUUGACACCACCACCCGUCUCUACCAACACUGUUGCCACUUUGUACUAAGGGUGGCUAGUAAGAGAGAAAGUGAAUGUGUGUGUGAGAGAGGGUGUGAUAGUGAAGUAUUGUUAUUGUGGGGAGUAUUGUUUGUCUUCUCUGGAUUGUUAACUAUGACGAGGAGAAUAUAGUUCACAGUUCUACAAAUGUAUUGUAAUGUAUUGUAUGGAUGGAGAUAUAAUGUAUUGUAUUGUAUGA